rnacentral:rRNA from 1 species
AGGCCCUGCUUUUGUGGGGUGCUCGAGUGGCGAACGGGUGAGUAACACGUGAGUAACCUGCCCUUGACUUUGGGAUAACUUCAGGAAACUGGGGCUAAUACCGGAUAGGAGCUCCUGCUGCAUGGUGGGGGUUGGAAAGUUUCGGCGGUUGGGGAUGGACUCGCGGCUUAUCAGCUUGUUGGUGGGGUAGUGGCUUACCAAGGCUUUGACGGGUAGCCGGCCUGAGAGGGUGACCGGCCACAUUGGGACUGAGAUACGGCCCAGACUCCUACGGGAGGCAGCAGUGGGGAAUAUUGCACAAUGGGCGGAAGCCUGAUGCAGCAACGCCGCGUGCGGGAUGACGGCCUUCGGGUUGUAAACCGCUUUCGCCUGUGACGAAGCGUGAGUGACGGUAAUGGGUAAAGAAGCACCGGCUAACUACGUGCCAGCAGCCGCGGUGAUACGUAGGGUGCGAGCGUUGUCCGGAUUUAUUGGGCGUAAAGGGCUCGUAGGUGGUUGAUCGCGUCGGAAGUGUAAUCUUGGGGCUUAACCCUGAGCGUGCUUUCGAUACGGGUUGACUUGAGGAAGGUAGGGGAGAAUGGAAUUCCUGGUGGAGCGGUGGAAUGCGCAGAUAUCAGGAGGAACACCAGUGGCGAAGGCGGUUCUCUGGGCCUUUCCUGACGCUGAGGAGCGAAAGCGUGGGGAGCGAACAGGCUUAGAUACCCUGGUAGUCCACGCUGUAAACGGUGGGUACUAGGUGUGGGGUCCAUUCCACGGGUUCCGUGCCGUAGCUAACGCUUUAAGUACCCCGCCUGGGGAGUACGGCCGCAAGGCUAAAACUCAAAGGAAUUGACGGGGCCCCGCACAAGCGGCGGAGCAUGCGGAUUAAUUCGAUGCAACGCGUAGAACCUUACCUGGGUUUGACAUGGAUCGGGAGUGCUCAGAGAUGGGUGUGCCUCUUUUGGGGUCGGUUCACAGGUGGUGCAUGGCUGUCGUCAGCUCGUGUCGUGAGAUGUUGGGUUAAGUCCCGCAACGAGCGCAACCCUUGUUCACUGUUGCCAGCACGUUAUGGUGGGGACUCAGUGGAGACCGCCGGGGUCAACUCGGAGGAAGGUGGGGAUGACGUCAAGUCAUCAUGCCCCUUAUGUCCAGGGCUUCACGCAUGCUACAAUGGCUGGUACAGAGAGUGGCGAGCCUGUGAGGGUGAGCGAAUCUCGGAAAGCCGGUCUCAGUUCGGAUUGGGGUCUGCAACUCGACCUCAUGAAGUCGGAGUCGCUAGUAAUCGCAGAUCAGCAACGCUGCGGUGAAUACGUUCCCGGGGCUUGUACACACCGCCCGUCAAGUCAUGAAAGUUGGUAACACCCGAAGCCGGUGGCCUAACCGUGUGGGG